AUAAGACUAAAACAGUUCAAAACAUCACUUGUGUUUUCUGGCACAGAGAGUUCAGUCAGAGAAGAGAAGGCAUGGCAGAAAUGGCUGUGAUAAUCCAUCAUACCAUUACAAUUUUAAAACAGAAGUUAUGGUAAUAUUAAGGGGAAACAAUGGCAGUUAGGAUUAUCCUCUGAAGGGCACUUUAAUGGAAUGGACUUGUAACAGGACUGUCCAUCUUCUUAAUGAAGUUAGUGAUCUUAAUUAAGUAGGUGUUUAUCAACUACACAUCCCAGUUAUGCCACUUUUCUUUCCCUACACCUGCUUCUCAUAUCUCUUACACUUUGUGAUACAUUAAUUUCUUUUUUAUUCAGAGAGCUGGGGAGAAUGGAGAAGUUCCAAUAGCUGGGAGUGAAAGAUCAGUAUCAGAACUACAUUUCAAAAUGCAAAAAUGGAAGAUCCUGUGCAAACUUCAGUGCGAAAGAAGAUGUGUGACUAGAAAUUGAAGUCUAUGGGAGUAAUCAGAGAAGGCAGGACAUGGACAAGAACCGCAGAGAAGGCACUCUGUAAGAGGAAUAUGCUGCUUUUGGGGUUGAAUUCCUAAAUCAAACCAAGAGUCACAUUAAUGAUCAUGACAAGAUGAGAAACUACCACAAAAAAAUCUCAA